rnacentral:rRNA from 1 species
UACGGGGGGGGCAAGCGUUGUUCGGAAUUACUGGGCGUAAAGGGCUCGUAGGCGGCCAACUAAGUCAGACGUGAAAUCCCUCGGCUUAACCGGGGAACUGCGUCUGAUACUGGAUGGCUUGAAUCCGGGAGAGGGAUGCGGAAUUCCCGGUGUAGAGGUGAAAUUCGUAGAUAUCGGGAGGAACACCAGUGGCGAAGGCGGCGACCUGGGCCAAUACUGACGCUGAGGUGCGAAAGCGUGGGGAGCAAACAGG